UACGUAGGGCGCAAGCGUUAUCCGGAAUUAUUGGGCGUAAAGAGCUCGUAGGCGGUCUGUCACGUCGGCUGUGAAAUCCCGAGGCUCAACCUCGGGUCUGCAGUCGAUACGGGCAAACUAGAGUAUUGCAGGGGAGACUGGAAUUCCUGGUGUAGCGGUGAAAUGCGCGGAUAUCAGGAGGAACACCGGUGGCGAAGGCGGAUCUCUGGGCCGAUACUGACGCUGAGGAGCGAAAGCGUGGGGGAGCGAACAGG
rnacentral:rRNA from 1 species